rnacentral:misc_RNA from 1 species
GAAAAAGUAACCAGAGACAACUAAAGGAUUUUUUUUUCUUUUUAAUUAGGUAAAAUAAAACUGAAGGUAGUAUUUACAGCUUCAGAGGGUCGACUACUAAUAAGACACAAACAGAAUUAAUAUUUUUGCUCCAUGAUUUUAACCUUCAGUCACUUCAAUUAAUCAAGUCAUUCUCCAAAGGUAGAUAAAGCUAAUGCACGGUUCAAUAGACAUACCUGCAAUUGAAUUCUGAAAGGGAAUAUAGCUUCAAACACGAGAAGUUUCGAUUUUGUAUGAUCCCCUACGCAAAAGCUGAGAUCAAAG